rnacentral:rRNA from 1 species
GACUUCCGGAGACGGAUUUCUUCCAGCAAUGGACCUGCACACAGGUGCUGCAUGGCUGUCGUCAGCUCGUGUCGUGAGAUGUUGGGUUAAGUCCCGCAACGAGCGCAACCCUCGCCUUUAGUUGCCAUCAUUCAGUUGGGCACUCUAAAGGGACUGCCGGUGAUAAGCCGCGAGGAAGGUGGGGAUGACGUCAAGUCCUCAUGGCCCUUACGGGCUGGGCUACACACGUGCUACAAUGGCGGUGACAAUGGGAUGCGAGCCUGCGAGGGUGAGCAAAUCUCCAAAAGCCGUCUCAGUUCGGAUUGCACUCUGCAACUCGAGUGCAUGAAGUUGGAAUCGCUAGUAAUCGUGGAUCAGCAUGCCACGGUGAAUACGUUCCCGGG